AGCACAGCUGUCGGUAACGCAACUAAGGGGAGCCGAGGGCGGGAUAAGAUCAAAUCCGAGCAGGCAAAUUUUAAUUAUAUCCUGACAUCGAGUUGGCAACAUUCCGUCGUUUUUAAUAAAACUUUUGUGGAAAAAAAGGGGCCGUGGGAUGACGGCGAAUGCCGGAUACGUAUAAUUACACCAACGGAAUAAACGUCACAAGGAAGAAGUUAAAUGUAAAUACCGUGCAGUGCUUCUACGGAUAUUUUAUGGUAUGUAAUUACAUUUGAUCAAAUUUAAUUAGAAAUAUUGUUAUCUACUGAAUUUUAACUGUUCCAUCAAAAUUCCCGAAAUAUCAUUAAUAAUAUCAAGCGCAUUUAAUCACCGCGUCCGGGGGAAUGAAUCAUGUCCAGGCGCAUCGGGGACUCUAUCAAUUCGAGCGCAAUUUAUCAUUCCGUGGUUCGUGAUAAAUUACAAAAGGGUUGCAGAUUUUGAAACGCGCGAAAUUACGUUGCCUCCCCGUGCGACGUUCCAUCGUGUCGAAUAAUGGUAACUAGGGAUUUGAGCGGUAUGUAUUAUAGAUACGUAUACAUACAUAAAGUGUGCAUGUAUACAUAACUAUCGCACUCUUCACGUGACUCGUCGUCAGAGCCUACGAUUUCGAUAUCGGGGUUGAGAUUCUAAAUUGCGCAUAUAAAUCUCUGUAUGCCGCACGGCUCGCGAAAGCGGAGGCCGGAAAAGCGGAGGGUUAAAGUCGCAUGAGCCUGCGAAAGCUUUCGUUCGAAUGGCGCGAGAGCUCAGUUCUGAAUCAAGGAUAUAUGAAGAAGAAUAGAGUGGAAAAAGAGCCGCGACUAAAGAGAACGAAAUUCACAACCGAAAGUAGCGGGGUGGAGGAGAGGUUGCACCCUCGAGAUAUAAAUACUCGCUUGAACUCGAGAGAUGAGGAGUGAAAGCAAUGAUUUUCAGUCGGUAGCUUCAUUCUUCCCCUCAUCUUCCCUCAUUCAUCCCUCCCGGCCUACCUGCCGUCUCCUUUCUUCGUCUCCUUUCUUCGUACGACAUUUUUCUCACUUUUUUCAAUUUUUUUUCUAUUGCGAGCAACGGCGUCACCAUCAACCAGAAGAGCUUCACGAGCACCCUAAACCGCGGGACGUCGAGUGCUAAUUACGAAUAAUUAUGAGUACUAAUUAAGGCCUCCCUUUGCACAGCAGCACACGAAUUACGAGCAAAGGCGCACGAAGCUUUCGAUGAGAUCACCGGUGCGCCGUGGAUUAUUCUUGCUUACGCAGUUACGCAGUGGAAACUUAUUGAUGUGAUUUGAUCAUUUUUUUACACGCUGAUACACCUAGCCGCUUUUAUAUCAACCUGUAAAUCGAUACGUAAAAGAGUUCUGAUGCAUAAUCCAACGGGACCAGGAAAAAGUUAAAAGAAAAUUUCCAAUACCGAUAAGCGAUUUUUUCAAACAUCUCUGAUUCGUAAAGGAUAUUAAAGUUCAAAAGGACCCUUGCUUUCUGCGUAUAGCUCUUUGUACACAUUGAUAUUUCCUCUUUCCAAGUCACGCAGUCGUUUUUUUACGCAAAGAGGACAUUUAACGAUUAACUAAUUGUGCGUGAAAAAUACUGUCAAAGACUAUAAUUACUCUAAAGUAUUUUGAAAUAUUUUCGAUCAAGAAUUAAAUGCGCUAUUCGUUGACAGGAACAUGAAAUCAUUAACGAGGUAUGUUUCGUGACGAUUUUGCGAUAAUAUAUCAAAUAACACAAAUCUUUGAUAAUUCCAUAUUUAAAGGGCUUCACUGUGGCAAAUAAAUUCUGUACGCGGCUAAUUUAGAUUCGUUCAGAACGAUCAAGCUUUAUAAUGCAAAGUCGACAAGCGUUUGUGAUAAGCUGAGUAUUUAGUUGGCUACGCUCGAGCACGAUAGACAUUAAACCAGAUGCGCAGGUGGCGGAUGCGUGAAAGGCUUUUCGCAAGCGCAAUCUCGCAUUUAAUUCGAUUAUUAUAGCUUGGGACCGGCCGUGUAUAGGCAGUGGAUUAAGUAAUUCAUACGUGGAUUCGCGUCGCGUCUCUCCCGUUUCUACACCCCGUGCCUCUAACAUGACCUAACUAUGGUUACCAUGAAUUUCCGCAAUGCUACGUGGAAAAUCUGUUUCCAUGAUUUUCUCUGUCGGGGUUCUGCGUACCUGCGUACACGCAACGGAGUCGAAUUACAGAUGUUCGUGCUAUUUUUUGCGAGAGAAUAAAAUCAGUUGCGAAGAGCGGAAAGUUAGGUUCGCCAAUAUUGACAUUGCGGCUCUUUGUUACAUCCGUUCUAUAGGGUGAAUUGCGUUGUGCUCCCUUUUAUUCGAAUUACUUCGGGCACGGCCGAAAAAUUUUCAUAUCCACGUCAAUUAUUAGCGGUGGAAAAAGUUCAGCAUCGCGCUGGAUCCAAGUAUAACCAGUGAUACCUUCCAGCUAUUUCUCUCCUUUAUUUCUACUUUCUCUUCAACCGCACAGUCCUUUCUGCGCAACUACGUCCACAGGAGAAAACUUGCUCGAUCCGUAAUUCAAUUUGAAAGCGAUUCCUCCGGUCGAGUCGGUACAUCGCGUAAAAUGGAGCCGAACUUUGCUCGCCCCCGUUCCCGAUUGUUUCAUAGGUAGAACAACGAUGAUCGUUAAAACAGGACUAUGGAAAAAAGAGUCGAAUUUUUUUCUUUUCAAUAGCCGCUUUGCAACUACAACUUUCAAGCAGUUAAUGACGCCCUCACGAUUUUCAAGCAGAAUUUUUACCCCCGGCCGAAAAUAAAUUUCAAUGGCUCGUAUUCCAGAACGCGAGAGCAUCGACGGCAUUAAUUCCCUAACGGUAAAAAAUCUGUUCCAAGUGGCUGAUAUCGGUGAUAAUUACUUGAAUUUUUCGCUGCACUCGAUAACGCCCGGCUGGACCAGGUCACUCGCACACAGUCAAACACCGUGCCAAUCUCAGUAUUAAACGAAUUAUUGAUUUCAAUAUAAGUCUGCUUCCUUUUCAACAGUCACUACCAACCUAAUUUAAAUCCGAGUUACAAGUUUAUUUAAUUUCUGUUUAACCAGCAAGAAUUUCCAUUCUUUAAUAAUGUUAUAUCUAUUAGCACGAGCAGGGAUCAAUAUUGUGAAAAGGCAGCAUUUACGAUUUCAGUUGAAGUUUACUUAAGACAAAUUGACCUGAAACUUUUAUGAAAUGUGGUUUUUCUUUCCCGAAGUCAAGCCUGCAAUUUCGAUCCUACAGAUUUUUAAAUUAAAAGAAAUUAACUCUAUCUUUACCAGAUUCUUCCAAGAUUCAAUGUAAAUAGCCUUUCACUAAAGUUA